rnacentral:lncRNA from 1 species
GCAUCAAUUCAAACAUAUAGUAUUAAUCAAAAUAAGAUCUAUACGAAUUCAAUCUUUUUAAAUUCAUUUUAAUUCAUAUAUCAAUUUCUUUCAAAAUAUUCAGUUCACCUCGAUAGUCAUGAACUACGACUACACUUAUAUUCUGUGAUUAGGUCAGAUGAGCUCAGAAUAGACAAGAUGCCAACGUAUAUCCCCCACCGUUAGGAUGUCAAUAAAUCAGUGCAUAACCCCGACCGACAAGAUGUCGAUAGAUCAGUGCAUAAUCUCUACUAGCAGAAUGUCGAUAUAUCAGUGUAGAAUCUUCAUUGAUAGGGUAUCGAUAUAUCGGUGUAGAAUCUUGACAAAUAAGAUAUUAAUGUACCAGCGCAUAAUUUUCACUAGUAGGAUAUUGAUGUGGCAGUAUAUAACC